CGCCCGGGAAUUACGAGUAAACUUAAAACCCAAAGGACUUGACGGUGUCCCAUUCCCCCUAGAGGAGCCUGUUCUAUAAUCGAUAACCCCCGCUCUACCUCACCACUUUUUGCUUAUUCAGCCUGUAUACCUCCGUCGUAAGCUUGCCCUGUGAACGUCUAUCGAGCAAGCCCAAGGGCCUUACNCACCAACACGUCAGGUCAAGGUGCAGUCCAUGAAGUGGGAAGCAAUGGGCUACAAUUUCUAAGCUAGAACAAACAAAAUACUGCAUGAAACACAGUCAUGAAGGUGGAUUUAGUAGU
rnacentral:rRNA from 1 species